rnacentral:misc_RNA from 1 species
AACGAGGAUCACGAUUUGAUCAUCUUGAUAGUGAAUACCAUUCAGAAGGACUUGAAAUCGGAUAAUUAUUUGAUUGUAUGUGCUGCGUUGAAUGUGGUUUGUAAGUUGAUCAAUGAGGAGACUAUUCCUGCCGUGCUUCCGCAGGUGGUGGAGUUGUUGGGGCAUUCUAAAGUUGUUGGGCCAUUCUAAGGAGGCUGUUCGGAAGAAGGCGAUUAUGGCUCUUCAUCGCUUUUAUCAGAAGUCCCCUUCCUCUGUUUCUCAUCUCGUCUCAAAUUUUCGCAAGAGGCUUUGUGAUAAUGAUCCUGGAGUGAUGGGUGCAACACUUUGUCCUCUUUUUGAUCUGAUAACUAUAGAUGUUAAUUCUUAUAAAGAUUUAGUGGUAAGCUUUGUAAGCAUUCUCAAACAAAUAGCUGAGCGUAGAUUGCCAAAGAGUUACGAUUACCAUCAGAUGCCCGCUCCAUUUAUACAGAUCAAGUUGCUGAAAAUCUU